UACGGAGGGAGCUAGCGUUGUCCGGAUUUAUUGGGCGUAAAGAGCUCGUAGGCGGCUCAGUAAGUCGGGUGUGAAACCUCCAGGCUCAACCUGGAGACGCCACUCGAUACUGCUGUGGCUUGAGUCCGGUAGGGGAGCACGGAAUUCCUGGUGUAGCGGUGAAAUGCGCAGAUAUCAGGAGGAACACCAGUGGCGAAGGCGGUGCUCUGGGCCGGAACUGACGCUGAGGAGCGAAAGCGUGGGGAGCAAACAGG
rnacentral:rRNA from 1 species